UACGAACUGUGCAAACGUUAUUCGGAAUCACUGGGCUUACAGGGUGCGUAGGCGGCCAGACAAGUAGGGUGUGAAAGCCCCCCGGCUUAACCGGGGAAUGGCGCCCUAAACUGUAUGGCUGGAGUGAGAUAGGGGUGUGCGGAACUUCCGGUGGAGCGGUGAAAUGUGUUGAUAUCGGAAGGAACGCCGGUGGCGAAGGCGGUUCUCUGGGCCUUACCUGACGCUGAGGAGCGAAAGCGUGGGAGC
rnacentral:rRNA from 1 species